rnacentral:rRNA from 1 species
UACAGAGGUCUCAAGCGUUGUUCGGAUUCAUUGGGCGUAAAGGUUGCGUAGGCGGCGCGGUAAGUCGGGUGUGAAAUCUCGGAGCUUAACUCCGAAACUGCAUUCGAUACUGCCGUGCUUGAGGACUGGAGAGGAGACUGGAAUUUACGGUGUAGCGGUGAAAUGCGUAGAUAUCGUAAGGAAGACCAGUGGCGAAGGCGGGUCUCUGGACAGUUCCUGACGCUGAGGCACGAAGGUCAGGGGAGCAAACGGG